UUCUUUUUUAAUUUUUUUCCCGCCGGUUGCUAGUGUUUUCCUACUUCCGUCACACAUACAGGUGUGAUGUCCACAAUUUCUCUCAUCCGGAACGUGUCAUGCUUGAUUAAUCAAAUCUGCAAUUAUUCAGUGAUCACAAUGCACAUAUCAUUCUUGGUCCUUUUCAAUUAAAAUGUAUCUCUAUGUAAAGUUAUUAAUUGUUGGGUUUGAUUGAUAUGAGGCAAAAAAUUGAAUCGUGACCAGGAUCCUGCAUCAACAAAGGCUAUGCUUGGUUUUAAGACUUUCAUCUUUAGGUGGUGUGUGGGCAUAAAGGGGCACCUUUUUUUAUUUUAUUUUGUAUGCAUGGACAUUGGGCAAGUUUAUUUUCAUAGAUUUGCGUAAGUACCAGUUUUAGAACGGUUAUAAUUUUCUUCAUUCGAGCAUUUUCACCCACUCAGCCUUUUCUCGCCUCAACGCUAAGUAGAGAACUAUUGGGGAGUUGAGUUCGCUCCUCAGAGGUAACUAACUAAUUUCGAGAUUUCUUCCUUCAAUCCCAAUUCCCUUGAUUAUUAGUUUCAUCCAUUGCAAAAAUUUCAUUCUAAUCACCGAUAAAUAGCUAUAUAUGCAAGCCCUAAGUAACUUAGAAGAACUCACGCUGCUUAUGUCUGUUGUUCUUUUAGGGUCAAUUUGGAUGUUUAUUCUUGAUUUUAUUGAUAAUAUUCACUUUGUUUGCUGUUAUGUUUGAUUUAGACCGCAAACUGUUUGAUAUAUGUUCUCAAUCAUGGAGGGUGAUAGCGUUACAUUCAUUUCCAAUCCUGAGACCUAUGAAUUGGAGAGUGAUAGUUUUACAAAAAUUUCCUCUCCUGAUAACGGUGAUAAGUCUAAGACGAUUGUGGGUGCGGUUUGGGUAGAGGGAGAUAACAAGUAUAACAGCAACGAUUCAAGAAAAUUUGGUCCUGUUCCUUUUGACCUUAUUGAUGGCAAGAUGUUCUGGAGUAAAUAAUGCCACUUAAAAAAUUUGGCCUUUCUGGAAUAAAUGAUAUGAAGCAAAGCAUUCUGUCAUGGAAGCUACAAUCUUUUGCAACUUGGCUUUAUGUGUUUAAUUUUGAACGGCAAAACCCUACCUAUCUGUAGUUUACUCCCUACACAGGUGCAUUUUGCUUAUAAGGGCAGUUUAUCUUCUUUUUUUUGACAGAGCAGUUUAUCUUUUAUGCAUGAAGUCAAUGAAAAGUAGUAGAUGAUCACAAAAAUCUACUCAGAUUAGAAAUGGAACAUAGAAUUUCCGUUAGAUGGAAGAAUUUGUGUAAUCCUAUUGAAAACAUUUGUCCUUUUGAAGAAGGGUCUUCUAUAAAGGCUCAUCACAUUGUUGAUAUAUGAAAUGGUGAUUUGAUGGUUGACACAUUCACCUAUUA